AAUCAAAAACUAAUGAGAGAUAAUUUACAAAUGAAAAAUUCAGUAAUGUCAGAAUGAGUUAUAAUAUAUGAAUAUACUAAUAUACUGAAUUAUGGCUUUUCAUAUAUUUAACAUUAUUAUUUAUUGAGAUUAUUAAAGUUUGAUCUAUUUUCUUACAUGCAGGAACUGGAAGUAUUGUCUCUGGCGAAACCAAAAGCUUCUUCAGUUUUGCCAAAUCAUGGUGGCAAGUGGAUAAAGUAAACCCAAUAAAACUGUUUGAUGAAAAUAAGUCAAUCUCAGGCUUCAACCUUAGACACCUGCUUUACCAACAAGGAGGU